GAUGAACGCUGGCGGCGUGCCUAAUACAUGCAAGUCGAGCGAACGGACGAGAAGCUUGCUUCUCUGAUGUUAGCGGCGGACGGGUGAGUAACACGUGGAUAACCUACCUAUAAGACUGGGAUAACUUCGGGAAACCGGAGCUAAUACCGGAUAAUAUUUUGAACCGCAUGGUUCAAAAGUGAAAGACGGUCUUGCUGUCACUUAUAGAUGGAUCCGCGCUGCAUUAGCUAGUUGGUAAGGUAACGGCUUACCAAGGCAACGAUGCAUAGCCGACCUGAGAGGGUGAUCGGCCACACUGGAACUGAGACACGGUCCAGACUCCUACGGGAGGCAGCAGUAGGGAAUCUUCCGCAAUGGGCGAAAGCCUGACGGAGCAACGCCGCGUGAGUGAUGAAGGUCUUCGGAUCGUAAAACUCUGUUAUUAGGGAAGAACAUAUGUGUAAGUAACUGUGCACAUCUUGACGGUACCUAAUCAGAAAGCCACGGCUAACUACGUGCCAGCAGCCGCGGUAAUACGUAGGUGGCAAGCGUUAUCCGGAAUUAUUGGGCGUAAAGCGCGCGUAGGCGGUUUUUUAAGUCCGAUGUGGAAGCCCACGGCUCAACCGUGGAGGGUCAUUGGAAACUGGAAAACUUGAGUGCAGAAGAGGAAAGUGGAAUUCCAUGUGUAGCGGUGAAAUGCGCAGAGAUAUGGAGGAACACCAGUGGCGAAGGCGACUUUCUGGUCUGUAACUGACGCUGAUGUGCGAAAGCGUGGGGAUCAAACAGGAUUAGAUACCCUGGUAGUCCACGCCGUAAACGAUGAGUGCUAAGUGUUAGGGGGUUUCCGCCCCUUAGUGCUGCAGCUAACGCAUUAAGCACUCCGCCUGGGGAGUACGACCGCAAGGUUGAAACUCAAAGGAAUUGACGGGGACCCGCACAAGCGGUGGAGCAUGUGGUUUAAUUCGAAGCAACGCGAAGAACCUUACCAAAUCUUGACAUCCUUUGACAACUCUAGAGAUAGAGCUUUCCCCUUCGGGGGACAAAGUGACAGGUGGUGCAUGGUUGUCGUCAGCUCGUGUCGUGAGAUGUUGGGUUAAGUCCCGCAACGAGCGCAACCCUUAAGCUUAGUUGCCAUCAUUAAGUUGGGCACUCUAAGUUGACUGCCGGUGACAAACCGGAGGAAGGUGGGGAUGACGUCAAAUCAUCAUGCCCCUUAUGAUUUGGGCUACACACGUGCUACAAUGGACAAUACAAAGGGCAGCGAAACCGCGAGGUCAAGCAAAUCCCAUAAAGUUGUUCUCAGUUCGGAUUGUAGUCUGCAACUCGACUACAUGAAGCUGGAAUCGCUAGUAAUCGUAGAUCAGCAUGCUACGGUGAAUACGUUCCCGGGUCU
rnacentral:rRNA from 1 species